rnacentral:rRNA from 1 species
UACGUAGGCAGCAAGCGUUGUUCGGAGUUACUGGGCGUAAAGGGGUGUGUAGGCGGUUGUUUAAGUUUGGUGUGAAAUCUCCCGGCUCAACUGGGAGGGUGCGCCGAAUACUGAAUGACUAGAGUGCGGGAGAGGAAAGUGGAAUUCCUGGUGUAGCGGUGAAAUGCGUAGAUAUCGGGGAGGAACACCAGUAGCGAAGGCGACACUCUGGGCCGGUACUGACGCUGAGGAGCGAAAGCGUGGGGAGCAAACAGG